UAUUCACCUUCCUUGAUACGAGCGAGAAAAGAAAUUACAAAAUAUUUGAAAUGUUUGAUUUAAAUGAAUGAUAUACUUAUUUGGAAACCCUCGACGUGGCGUUAAAGCGACCCAUUUAAAAAUAAAUUAUUACCACCUGAUUGGUUAAUGUGACAUAUUUAAAGCAGCAACUGCGCGCUAAUCUCAUUUUUACGUUUUACAUCGUGAGUGGCACGGUUAACAAUUUUACACAUCCAACAUGAAUACUUUCAUUGUUAUCGCUGUCUUAACAGUGUUAAACUCUAUAAAUGUUGCUAAUGGUGAUUGUGUGACAGCAACUGGUGAUGGUUGCAGAACAACCUACAAUGCUGCCAACACAACAACAGACCCAUUGAAAUGCACAGCUGCCUAUGCCUAUGGUUCAUGUUUAGUUAAUGCAGAUUGUAAUAACGGCACUUAUUUAACUAAUUUCAUAGCAGAUACAGGUUCUGGUUUUACAUGUGACAAUUGUACCUUAGGUACAGCAGUAGGUUGUCUUGAAGAUGAUUGCAGUGGCUUGCCAGCAGUUAAAACCUGUUUAGAUAAUGCUAUGUGUAACACUGGUGACUUCAAUGCAGCGUACACUGCGUAUGUAGCUAAAUGCAAUGGAUGUGGUACAGUGACUGUCAGUGUAUUGAUGAUGUUCUUCUCCACUCUACUUGUGUUUAUCAAAAUCUAAUGACUCUUAUUAAAAAAUAAACUUGCCUUAUAUUGCUCCUUUAUUAUUUUAUCUUAUACAAGAACAAGAUGUAGUAUUUACAGAUAUUUGUUUGUUUUAGCAUUGACCAAUAAAGUAAACAUUUUAAAUGUUGAAAUAUUUGGAUAUGAAAUGACCAAAACAAAUUUUAAAAUAUAUAAAUUGUUGGAAAAGAAAUGACCAAAACAAAUUUUAAAUGUCGAAAUGUUUGGCUAUGAAAUGACAAAAACAAAUUUAAAAAAAAUGAAAUUAAAAUAUAAAUGCACAGACACUGUAUUUUAACAUAAAACUAAAUUAGAUAUUUUUGUUUUUAUAUAAUUGUUUUUAUCUACAUGUAUUUGUAAAUGCUUAGACUGUUUCAUCAUUGACCAUUGUAUAAAACAUACAAAAUGUUGAAAACUUUGGAUAUGAGAUGAUGAGAAGUGACAUAUUUAUAUAGAGAAUAUUUUUAAAGGCUAGAAGUGUGAUCUGCAUUUCGUUCAAAUAUCAAAUUUCUCAGGCUUAAUCCACGCUAAUUAUGUACUUAGAUUAAUUAUUAAACAUUAAAUUAAACAUUAAAUUAAGGAAACAAAUCAACUCUUCUGGCUGGGAUUCAAUACAAUUUAAACUGGUGGCGUCGUGUUACAUAUCGAACAAUAUAGAUCGAUGAAAUUUCAAAUUAUCUUGACUUUGUACACUCUGAACUUUCAAAUUAUCUUGACUUUGUACACUCUGAACAGAAUUGGACUGAUAUGCCUAUUAGAAAUUAAACUUUCAUAAUAUUUUAGUUUGCAAGGGAUUCGUAUAGCAUUAAAUGAUAUAAGCUAACUAUAUUAAUAUAUCGAGAGAUCUGUUGUUCGCCAUUGACCAUUGUAUUUAACAUGUUAACUGUUGAAGAAUUUGGAUAUGAAAUGAUGUAUACAAUAAGUAUGUCUGUAUUAUUUCGCCACUAUUUUUUGAUAACUAUUUUGUAUAUUUCUAAUUUCGUCUAUUAUCGUGUAAUUAUUUUAAUAAAUGAAAAUAUUUUAAAGAAAA